CAUAGGGUAGUAUAACAAAUACUUUUUGCUUACACCAAAAAACUGGCGACACAAACCCCCUUUGA
rnacentral:tRNA from 1 species